UUCGUUUUUAAAUUUUUUUACAACUAUAAUCAAAGUUCUGAAGUACUGAACAUCGGAUUACCGCAAGUUCUUGUUGAUGGUCACAAGCACUUGUCUCAGAAAAAAAAAUCACAUUUCUAUACCUGAAAGUGAUGAUUAUGUACAGAGAUAUAUUUUUUUCUGAGCACGUUCGUGCGUGGAUGAUGAAUAAAUGACAGAGAAUUCAACAUCACUGCAAUUAUCAUUAUUAUAUUGUAGCGAUACAAAUCUGUAUACUCUGAUUUGUUGUUAUAUAUCAUAUUAAUAAUUGUAUAUGUAUGUAUAUUUGUUAACCAUUUGUAUGUCAUUCUAUUUUACUUUUCGAAUACAGUGCAAGUGCAUGGUGGACACUCUUCUAUAACAAUUCGAUUUUUCCAAUAGAUUAGAUUUGAGUAGGCAUUCAUAUUUUCCAACAAAACGUCCUUGUAAUACUCUCUCGCAUGUGUUAAUAGAUUUUUUUUCUGUACGUGUGCAUAGAUAUUAAUGUAUAUAAAUAUUUCUAACGACAAACUAUUUUCGUAUUAUUAAUUUUUGUUCUAAAAAAAUAUUUUUGAGUAUUCAUUGGAGAAAUGACUUCAUAUCAAGCGAUAAGCAAUGUUAGUUUGCACUCGAUAAUAUCCGCUUAUUUAUAAGAUUGGUUACCAGUCAAAAUCGAAAGUCAAAUCUCUGUGGCAACAAUACAUCGGAAUGUCCUCACGGACAUCGCGAUUUAAAAAUCAAUAUUCAGGCUAUGUUUAAUGGCGUUCUGCGAGGGUAAAAUAGAUCUUCUUUACACAAAAAUUAAGAAUUUCCACACAUCAGAUUGAUUUUUUUCUUUCUCUCGAAUGAGUUUGUAUAUUAAUACCUUGGAGCUAGAUGCUACAUGUUUGUGUGCCACCCUUCAUAUGUGUCGGAGAGCUAUUCUCUUUUUUUUUUCUCAAAAUGAUGACUUCAGAUAGCUUCUUCUGAUAUGAUAAAAAUCCAUUUUCGUCCGUUAUAUCUUAUGAAAAUGAAGACAGAAGGUUUUUGUGCGGGUUGAGCAGCUAAUUGGGACAUUUUUUCUCUUUUUUAUUUAAACUCUUCUAACGAUCUUCUUUCUCUUACAGUUAAAAAUGUUUAUAACUUCAUUUAGUGUUAAAUGUAUACAAUACAGUUGUAAAAUUUUAAAACAUACUUCUUACUAAUAAAUCUGCACUGGGAUUUAGAAUCCUCACAUAAAACAAAAUUGUAACAGCGGGACACCCUAAAAAUGACGUUAUCGGCAUCGAAAAUAGAAAAAGCACAAAAUCACCUAUGUUAUUGAUUUCUAUGAUUUAUUUCCUUUCGAAUGAUAUGCAGAACAUUGGUAUUCAUUGUAAGGGAUAAGAGCUUGAAUUUGAAUAACCCGCCAUAUAACCCAAGUUCCAAAGAGACACCAAUAUCGUGCGCAACGUCAUAGGGAAUCACUGAUGUAUGAACGGAGGGGCACUUCGUAGGCUGCCAGUGGGCCCCCGCUUCUGAUAGUUCUGGAUCCGCCACUGUAGGUAGCAGUGUAUUGAUUUCUUAACAUGGAGCAUUUAGAUUACAUCGUUAUAGUUGAUUAGCAAGACCAUAUGUUUUUUUUAUUGAUUUUUAAUUAUCAAAUAAACGUGUUUUAUUUUAAAUCAUACAAUCGAAGUAGCAAAGAAACCUUUUAAAAAGACACG
rnacentral:lncRNA from 1 species